AUUCCUUCGCGCACCCUAUCCCCAUCUCAUUUCUCCCUCGCCCAUCCGCUGGCCGCCGCCACCCCCCUGUUCUUGCCCCGCGCUGUCAUCCUCACAGAGUCACAAACUCCUCCCCACCUGCGCCGCAGCCGUCGCUGCCGCCACCGGCAAGGUCGCGUCCCCCCACCUACGCUGUGGACUCGAGUGUCUCUCCGCCCUAGCCCCACGCAGCAGCGCCUCCACCAGCAGCAGAAGUCGCAGUGCAUCUCCACCAGCGUGGGUGCCCAGAUCCACAUCUGAGAACGUCGCCGCCGUGCAUCCCGUAGACAAGGCACAAGCAAAGGGGGAGGCGGUGGUUCACUGUCGGACCAACCCGAUGCCAUUACUGCUCCGGCCUGUCACAUCCCACCAUGGCCCCCGCAUCUAUGAUCCACUCAAGGGCCGAGCUCGUCUGUCUAGGCCACACUGUGUUAGUGCUGCUAAGCCCUCUGACAUGGCCUCGGCGUGUCGUCUCCAGAUCUGCAUGGCGUUAGUGCUGCUGGUCCCAUUCAAAGUUGUUUGAAAAAUUGGAGCCAACAUCUUCCGAAGGAAGAGUUCAGAAUAGAAAGAAAAACUGAAUGAGGCAACAAAUACUUGUGAAACACCAAGCGAGCAGGUUCAGAAACAGGGCAUUUGAGUUGAUUGUGUUAUAGAUUAAUUCUCAUCAGGUUCCACAGAAGAUUCUGAUCAAGGAGCCGGAGUUCUACAAGUGGGAGGGGAAUAUUUCUGAGUAGAGAACGUCUACAAGCUUAAACCUGCAGGCAACAAAUGCUUCUGCAACACCAUAUGUUUGAGAAAUUGGAGCCAGCAUCUGCUGAAGGAAAAGUUCAUAACAAUAAAAAACUGGAUUGCUCUACCUAAGGUCAUUGGGUCACUCCAUGCUGUUCAGUGAUAUCAACUCCAAACAAGGACUUUUAUUUUGUGCAGUCCACAUGUUUCUAUCCAACUCUAUUUAGGAGCCGGACUUGUUGUGUAGUAAGGACUUGCAUGCUGCUCUGAACCAAUAGUGUAGAGCUCUGUAUUCCUAUCUUACUAAUCUAUACGAUCUAUAUAUUUGGAUAUGGGACAUGUGAGUUUGUAAUGAAUUACUAAUUUGACAGAUCACUUUGUGCUAGCUUGUGUAACGUGGCUUGUGAGUGGAUGUAUGAACAUCUAGAAUUGAUGGAUCAAAUGGACAGUAGAUCAUUUGAUUAUUAUAAU